rnacentral:lncRNA from 1 species
GGGGAUGAUGAAAUUAGUUGAGCAAUUAAAAGAAGAGAGAGAACUGCUAAGGUCCACAACGUCGCAAUUGAAAGCUUUGCUGCACAAGAAAAACAAAUGGAAGUUUGUGAAGUAUGUGGAGCCUUUUUAAUAGUAGGAGAUGCCCAGUCCCGGGUAGAUGACCAUUUGAUGGGAAAACAACACAUGGGCUAUGCCAAAAUUAAAGCUACUGUAGAAGAAUUAAAAAAAAGUUAAGGAAAAGAACCGAAGAACCUGAUCGUGAUGAGCGUCUAAAAAAGGAGAAGCAAGAAAGAGAAGAAAGAGAAAAAGAACGGGAGAGAGAAAGGGAAGAAAGAGAAAGGAAAAGACGAAGGGAAGAGGAAG